UUCCCGGGUGUAGAGGGUGAAAAUUCGUAAGAUAUCGGGAAGGAAUACCGGGUGGCGAAGGCGACCAUCUGGGCCAGAUACUGACGCUGAGGUGCGAAAGCGUGGGGAGCAAAACAGGAUUUAGAUACCCUGGUAGUCCACGCCGUAAACGAUGUCAACUAGGUGUUGGGGCGGUUAAUCGUCUCAUUGCCGGAGCUAACGCAUUAAGUUGACCGCCUGGGGAGUACGGCCGCAAGAUUAAAACUCAAAGGAAUUGACGGGGGCCCGCACAAGCGGUGGAGUAUGUGGUUUAAUUCGAUGCAACGCGCAGAACCUUACCUGGUCUUGACAUCCCGAGAAUCUCUUAGAAAUAAGAGAGUGCCUCAUUAGAGGAGCUUGGUGACAGGUUCUGCAUGGCAAUCAUCAGCUCGUGUCGUGAGAUGUUGGGUUAAGUCCCGCAACGAGCGCACCCUUGCCUUUAGUUGCCAUCAUUAAGUUGGGCACUCUAGAGGGACUGCCGGUGUCAAACCGGAGGAAGGUGGGGAUGACGUCAAGUCCUCAUGGCCUUUAUGACCAGGGCUACACACGUACUACAAUGGCAUGUACAAAGGGCAGCCACAGGGCGACCUGGAGCGAAUCCUUAAAACAUGUCUCA
rnacentral:rRNA from 1 species